GCGCGCAGCUGCUGGCGGCGGCGGGCGCGCUGGCCGACCUGCUGCUGGCGGAGGCGGCGCCGCUCGCCGACCACCUCUACGACAAGCUGCGCCGCGACAUCGUGCAGCCCUACGUGGACGAAGGUCAGAUUGAGCGCGCCGCGGUGCUAGCGGAGAAGUUCAAGGAUUUCGACCUGCUCAUAGAGCUGUGCGUGAAGCGGGGAGACAUGGAGCGGCUGUACGGGUACAUCGACAAGUACAAGGAGGAGGGCAUCGCGGAGCGCGCGCUGGCGUGGCUGUGGUCGCGCGACGGCGCGGCGCGCGCGCUGCUGCUGCGCGG
rnacentral:misc_RNA from 1 species